rnacentral:tRNA from 1 species
GGUGGCGCAUCCGUUCCGGUGAACGGCGCGGUCUUCAAAACCGUUUGCGAGACUGUGAGAACAGGCUUGGGUUGGUUCGACUCCGACACGCCGCCGA